rnacentral:rRNA from 1 species
GAUGAACGCUGGCGGCGUGCCUAAUACAUGCAAGUCGAGCGAACAGACGAGGAGCUUGCUCCUCUGACGUUAGCGGCGGACGGGUGAGUAACACGUGGAUAACCUACCUAUAAGACUGGGAUAACUUCGGGAAACCGGAGCUAAUACCGGAUAAUAUAUUGAACCGCAUGGUUCAAUAGUGAAAGACGGUUUUGCUGUCACUUAUAGAUGGAUCCGCGCCGCAUUAGCUAGUUGGUAAGGUAACGGCUUACCAAGGCGACGAUGCGUAGCCGACCUGAGAGGGUGAUCGGCCACCCUGAAACUGAGACACGGUCCAGACUCCUACGGGAGGCAGCAGUAGGGAAUCUUCCGCAAUGGGCGAAAGCCUGACGGAGCAACGCCGCGUGAGUGAUGAAGGUCUUCGGUCGUAAAACUCUGUUAUUAGGGAAGAACAAAUGUGUAAGUAACUAUGCACGUCUUGACGGUACCUAAUCAGAAAGCCACGGCUAACUACGUG